rnacentral:rRNA from 1 species
GACGAACGCUGGCGGCGUGCUUAACACAUGCAAGUCGAACGGAAAGGCCCUGCUUUUGUGGGGUGCUCGAGUGGCGAACGGGUGAGUAACACGUGAGUAACCUGCCCUUGACUUUGGGAUAACUUCAGGAAACUGGGGCUAAUACCGGAUAGGAGCUCCUGCUGCAUGGUGGGGGUUGGAAAGUUUCGGCGGUGGGGGAUGGACUCGCGGCUUAUCAGCUUGUUGGUGGGGUAGUGGCUUACCAAGGCUUUGACGGGUAGCCGGCCUGAGAGGGUGACCGGCCACAUUGGGACUGAGAUACGGCCCAGACUCCUACGGGAGGCAGCAGUGGGGAAUAUUGCACAAUGGGCGGAAGCCUGAUGCAGCAACGCCGCGUGCGGGAUGACGGCCUUCGGGUUGUAAACCGCUUUCGCCUGUGACGAAGCGUGAGUGACGGUAGUGGGUAAAGAAGCACCGGCUAACUACGUG